CCUACGGGAGGCAGCAGUGAGGAAUAUUGGUCAAUGGACGAGAGUCUGAACCAGCCAAGUAGCGUGAAGGAUGACUGCCCUAUGGGUUGUAAACUUCUUUUAUAAAGGAAUAAAACGAGGCACGUGUGCCUUUUUGCAUGUACUUUAUGAAUAAGGAUCGGCUAACUCCGUGCCAGCAGCCGCGGUAAUACGGAGGAUCCGAGCGUUAUCCGGAUUUAGUGGGUUUAAAGGGAGCGUAGAUGGGUUGUUAAGUCAGUUGUGAAAGUUUGCGGCUCAACCGUAAAAUUGCAAUUGAUACUGGCAGUCUUGAGUACAGUUGAGGUAGGCGGAAUUCGUGGUGUAGCGGUGAAAUGCUUAGCUAUCACGAAGAACCCCGAUUGCGAAGGCAGCUUACUAAACUGUGACUGACAGUUAUGCUCGAAAGUGUGGGUAUCAAACAGGAUUAGAUACCCCUGUAGUC
rnacentral:rRNA from 1 species